AACUGCGAAUGGCUCAUUAUAUAAGUUAUCGUUUAUUUGAUAGUGCCUUACUACAUGGAUACCUGUGGUAAUUCUAGAGCUAAUACAUGCUAAAAAUCCCGACUUCGGAAGGGAUGUAUUUAUUAGAUUAAAAACCAAUGCCCUCUGGGCUCUCUGGUGAUUCAUGAUAACUCCUCGAAUCGCACGGCCUUGCGCCGGCGAUGGUUCAUUCAAAUUUCUUCCCUAUCAACUUUCGAUGUUUGGGUAGUGGCCAAACAUGGUGGCAACGGGUAACGGAGGGUUAGGGCUCGACCCCGGAGAAGGAGCCUGAGAAACGGCUACUACAUCCAAGGAAGGCAGCAGGCGCGCAAAUUACCCAAUCCCGAUUCGGGGAGGUAGUGACAAUAAAUACUGAUACAGGGCUCUUUUGGGUCUUGUAAUUGGAAUGAGUACAAUUUAAAUCCCUUAACGAGGAACAAUUGGAGGGCAAGUCUGGUGCCAGCAGCCGCGGUAAUUCCAGCUCCAAUAGCGUAUAUUAAAGUUGUUGUGGUUAAAAAGCUCGUAGUUGAACCUUGGGCCUGGCUGGCCGGUCCGCCUCACCGCGUGCACUGGUCCGGCCGGGUCUUCCCUCUGUGGAACCACAUGCCCUUCACUGGGCGUGGCGGGAAAACAGAACUUUUACUUUGAAAAAAUUAGAGUGCUCCAGGCAGGCCUUUGCUCGAAUACAUUAGCAUGGAAUAAUGAAAUAGGACGUGCGGUUCUAUUUUGUUGGUUUCUAGGACCGCCGUAAUGAUUAAUAGGGACAGUCGGGGGCAUCAGUAUUCAAUAGUCAGAGGUGAAAUUCUUGGAUUUAUUGAAGACUAACUACUGCGAAAGCAUUUGUCAAGGAUGUUUUCAUUAAUCAGGAACGAAAGUUAGGGGAUCGAAGACGAUCAGAUACCGUCGUAGUCUUAACCAUAAACUAUGCCGACUAGGGAUCGGACGACGUUAAUUUUUGACUCGUUCGGCACCUCACGAGAAAUCAAAGUGC
rnacentral:rRNA from 2 species